rnacentral:lncRNA from 1 species
CCCAUAGGAGCUGGUAUCGCUAUAAGAUACUAUGCAAUCUUUGAAAGUCCCUCUCUAGAAUCAAAGCACUCAUCAAGUAAAGCCAAGAUCUUGUCAAAUAAGACUUUACCCAGGAGGAAAGCAGGCCUUUUGCCUUCCGAAAAUGGCCUAUUUGCCUUCUCCAAGGAAUAAGAGCAAAAAUACCACAAUUACAACUGUGUAUUUAAUAAUGAUAUAAAUUUUAACUGGCAAGGAUCCUGAUUAGAAGUUGAAAAGCAGGACUUUCAUUUUGGUGCUAAUGGCCAACUAGAGAAGGCCCUUGCUUUCCUCACCUCCUUCAAGGUUGAUCACUUUGAAGUCUGUGUGGACACGUGCACCUGCAACCCAGUAGACAGUCCAUGAUCUUUUAAAAUUUAUUUUGUUUCCUCACAAUGUUUGUUUAUGUUUUUACUUAAACUUUUUGGACUUAGGUUUCAUCUUAGCUACCAUUUAAUAAGUUUCUUGAAUGUGCCAAACUAUAGGAGCUUCACAUUCUUUAUUUCAUUUCCUCUUCUGUUACUUAUAUGAAUGAGAUGUUACCAUUGGGUUUUAUACACAAACCUGAAUCUGCAAAAGGCUAACCAACGUGUCCAAGGUCAUAGAUCCACAAAGACGCACAGCUAGUGUCAGAAACUAAGUCUUUUUGAAAUGAAAGCCCCCAUUUCUUCCAAGACACUCUGAUCUGCAAAUGAGCUGGGUGGAAGACAGUCCCUGCUAAUUCUCAGUCGCCUUGAAGCUGUUAAUUCCAUAACACAGCAUUUAACAGCAAACUCUUCAUAUGCCAGUAAGAAAACUAGGAAUGGAAAAAUCCCAAAAUAUCAGCAACAAGAACGCAACAACAAUGCAGUACGCAGCCAUAGGAAUUCAAAUAAUGUUGGCUGGAUCUAGAUUUGUCUAGAUCAAACCAUGUUGUUGAUGUUGCUCCAUCUCAAAGGGUAGACUAGAUCUUUUACUUGUGAAGAUUCAACUCAAUAUUUUUAAAUAGGCUUCAGAAAGAAAUGAUUUUACAGAGUCCAAUUUGUCACAGGUGAGAACUUGUAAGGUUCUGGCUAGUGGUGACUCAUAGCACCAUUUCCAUCUCUGUGCCCUUGGCCCACCACCGUCUUAGCCAGGUGGUGCCCAGCAAUGGCACAGCAGGAGAGAACCACCUGUCAACAGAAGCACCUGUCAGCACCUCAGGACCUGAUGAUGGGCUGCAUCUCUUUGGGAACUCAUCGGCAGUCCCUACGCCAGAUCAGAUUCAAGCAGAAUGUGACCCCCAGAUUGCUGGCUGUCUACAUGUAAUUUCAGAGCAUGUGAACAGCACACUAAAUAGUUGGGUUUUGAAGAGCAACUUCAACCGGUCUGAUGUAUGAGUAUUGAUUUUUUCUCCUUCAGAGGUUUACUGUGGCCAUGUAAAGACAAACGAGGAAAUAAUUUCAAAAAAGGCAGUCAAUGGUAAUUUUCUACAUUGUGAACACAGGGAAAGGGGAAAUAAAAGAAAAGAUGAAUGUUCUACCUGAGUGCUCUUCCUGGGAGCUCCAUCCAAUCUUGGCAAUAACAAACUUAUAUAAACUUUACCAAAGAAAGGCAAUGCAGCCAGAAGGUGAAUUUUCCUGCUUGGCUCACAGUCUAUUAUGUUAGUGAUGCUGAGAAAAAUUAUAAUCUAUGAUAUUACUUCAUUCUUUUCACCAAUCAAGAAAUACCUUCAUUGAAAAAUAAUGUGCUUUUCCCCCACAAAAGAGGAGCUCUAGCACAAUGUUCUUUUUGUCUAACCAUUAUUUAUUCAUUGCAACUGAGAGUUAUAAAACAAUGCAAUUUGGAAUAAACAUGUUUGGUUAAUCUUAUCCUUUAGCAAGGAAUAAAAAUUAAUAAUUUAAAAGCAUAUAGUUGUUAGGCAUCUGGCUUGAUAGAAGUGUACUCCUAAUUUUUUUUUUUUUUUUGGCUUUUUAGGGCCACACCCAAGGCAUAUGGAGGUUCCCAGGCUAGGGGUCAAAUCAGAGCUGUUGCCGCUAACCUGCACCACAACCACAGCAACACCAGAUCUGAGCCACACCUGCAACCUACACCAGAGCACAUGGCAACACUGGAUCCUUAACCCACUGAGUGAGGCCAGGGAUCAAACCUGCAUCCUCAUGGAUCCUAGUCAGAUUUGUUUUUCUGUGCCCCAAUGGGAACACCUAUAAAUGUACUCUUGAGAAAGAAGAGUGAAUAAUUAUACAAAAAUCGUAAUUGACAGAAUUAGAACUUCUUGGAUGGUUAGAGUCCUCUGCGAAUAUAAAGGAUGAUUUUAAAAACUUACAUAGGUUGUUAUUUCUAGUAAUGUGAAGAAAAGUAUUUAUAAAUAUCUUUGGUAAUUUUGCCCUGUGUAAUUUUUUAAUUUUUAUUACUCAAUGAAUUUCAUUACAUUUAUAAUUGUACACUGAUCAUCACAACCCAGUUUUAUAGCAUGUCCAUCCCAAACCCCCAUUUUUUCAAGGCAUAACACAGCAAUGUAGUCUUACUCCAGAUCCUUCAAGUCAGAAUCUCAGAGGAUGCGUUUCUAGUCAACAUCCCAGUGAUUCUUACACAUGCUUAAAAGUUAGAAUCACAGUAAUGCACAUGGUGGCUUGUGCGAUUUCCAAGUACUGUCAGAGUGUUAAAUAAUUUCCAUGAUUUUCCAACUUGAAGAUAUUACCUAUAUGUGAUACAGAAUUUUACAGUAGCUUUUAUGUUAAAUAACAAUAACCAACACUUGAAGUGCUUGUUUGGUGCCAGGUAGUGGUUUAAGCAGUACUUCAUUAAUACUAAUUUACUGAGUACUCACAGUAACUAUAUGAAGUAUUACAUUUAUCUCCACUUUAGGAUGAGGAAAAGGGGCACAGAGAGGCUGAGUAAUUUGCCCAAAAUCUCACAGAAAGAGGCAGAGUUAACUUGACCUCAUGCACUCUGUCUCCCAAAGUUUCUCCUUAACUACCAGGUCAUACUAUGUCCUGUUUGUCAUUGAAAACUGGACUUCUUAGAAAGUCGUAAUAAUAGAAAAACUCCCUGAACACACUCUUUGUUGUAGAAGAAAGAAGAGGAUGCGUGGGAGAGGGAAGGAAGGAGGGGAAGAAGAAAGCAUCUUACACAGCAAGAUAAACAGAAAUGUUUUGCAAAUAUUGUGAUAAUACAUCCACAAAAAUACUGAAAAUGUAGAAACCAAAACACUUAUUUGCUGAUGGGGUAACAGUAACUUAUUAUGUUUGCCCCAUUUUCUGAGUUCCCUGUAAUAAGGGAAUGAAUGAGAAUGAUUCUCUCCUGUAAUCAGAAAACAAAAACCAACUCAGUUUAUAGAAUGAUUACAUAGAAUAAUGGUUGGCCUAUUUCGUAAAAAUACCAAUUGAUCUAGAUUUUCAACUAUACUCUUUUAAUACUGAACAACUUUUAGAACUAUACGAGUGUAUAUCUAUUAGUAAUUGUUUUGUUUUUCUCAUUUGAAGAGUGGCUUUUACACACAAUCCUAUAAUUUAUAUUACUUUCAGUUGCUCUAUGAAAAAAAUUCAAAUCAUACUGUAACUUUAAAAAUAAAUGUGCUACUUCUUAAGUCAGAAAGAGAAAGACAAAUACCAUAUGAUAUCACUUAUAUCUGGAAUCUGUUAUAAGGCACAAAUAAACCUUUCCACAGAAAAGAAAAUCAUGGACUUGGAGAAUAGACUUGUGGUUGCCAAGGGGGAGGGGGAGGGAGCGGGAUGGAAUGGAAGCUUGGGGUUAAUAGAUGCAGACUGUUGCCUUUGGAAUGGAUGAGCAAUGCUCCUUCUGUGUGGCACUGGGAACUAUGUCCAGUCACUUAUGAUGGAGCCUGAUAAUGUGAGAAAAUAGAAUGUGUACAUGUAUGUGUACCUGGGUCACCAUACUGUACAGUGGAAAAAAAAUUGUAUUUGGUAAAUAACUAUUAAAAA